AGAGAGCGACGGGCGAUGUGUACACACCUCAGAGCUCGUUUCAUAUAAACUCUUUAAUUUUAUUUUACUACUAAAUCCACCUUCAUAAUAAUUAUACAAAUAUUAAUCCGUAAUAAGUCAAUCUUAUUGUAACCCACUACUCCCAUGCAUAUUGGCUGCACCUUGACCUGAUGUCAUAGCUAAAAUUUCUAAUUAGAUAAUAUUUUUUAAAAAUAAUCUGACAACGGCGGUAUACAAACUGAACACAAAAACAUGUAAAUUUAAUCGUGGAAUAUCGAUACAAGAGCAGGUUCCUCUAGUAAGAAUGAGGUACCGCCAAAUUCUUUAGGUUUAAAAAUAUUUACUACCCAGGCACUCAAUAAUAAGGAAUAAUAGGGUAUCUAAUCCUAGUCUAAACCCUUAUUUCAAAAGAUAUAAAAUUUUCUUUAAUUUUUAUUUUAUAAGUUUAAAAAUUUCACCUUUAUACUUACUACUAAAAAAUUAUUUUAAAAUAAUUUUUUACUUAAUUCCACCAAACAAUUUCAUUAAAUCCCUUCGUAUAACC
rnacentral:rRNA from 1 species